GUUUAGGGGGUUGGGUUAAAGAAAAAGCCAAACAUACAAAAAUAAUUCUGAAAUUAGCAAAAAGUCUGAAUUAAAGUGUUGCGGUGAGGUGAAACAGAAGACAGAAAGUUUACAAAAACUUAAAAUGACGGUCUUUUUAAAUUGAAAGUAUAAGUAAACUAUAAUUAACUCUCUAUUUCGUUGAAGAUCAGUCUCUAAUUCCUCUGGAAAACCAACAAUACGUCCCAACGUCGGACACCUGCAGAAUUUGCAUGUCUCGUGCGCAACCCGCUGAUUGGUCGAAAGUAUGUCGCCAGGUGCAUCUGAAGCCAACACACUUUACAAUACAUUCCAAAGCAAAUUGCGUGUUAGCUCAGUACGAGAUUACGCUGUAUGCUUUUGUCUACAGUUGUUUUUAUUGUUUGCUGCUUUUCUCGACGUGUUACCGCCUCUUGCGUCAGUGUACUUAAAACCUUUCCAAGUGGAUUUGGAGCAGUGAUGUUGACGCCAUUCUUCGAGUCUCAAGAAGCGAAGUGACACUGCAAAUGUAUGCUCGCGGUAAGGACUCUGCUAGAUACAUGUAAGCGCGGAGAUUGUCCGAUAUCACCCUGUGCCGAUGAGUCAGUCCACGAGACAACUUCAUGCUGACGUCAUCACAGGGGAAGAGGAAGGAUCAGGUCUCCACAUCGAGAUUUGUGCUUGAUGAAAACUGUGUUUCCUCACAGUAACCGAGUCGGCCGUUGCCAUGAAAACGCGGGGAAUCUGCAGGUUGACUGGAGAACCUACGCACGCUCAAGGUCACUAACAACAAACUUCUACGUCGCGGAAUUGAGUGAACUGAAUACCACUAGCCCGAUGAGUUCCUGGAUACACAGAUUCCCACAGUUUAUCCAAAGCGACGGCUUGUUUCUAGAGUGGGUUAUUAUCCUCAAGGAAGGUAAGAGGAAACAUUUGAACCAAGAUCUGGGUUAAUUACGCCCUCCAGUGGCAUCCCAUCCAAGA